AUUGAACGCUGGCGGAAUGCUUUACACAUGCAAGUCGAACGGCAGCACGGGGCAACCUGGUGGCGAGUGGCGAACGGGUGAGUAAUACAUCGGAACGUGCCCAAUCGUGGGGGAUAACGUAGCGAAAGUUACGCUAAUACCGCAUACGAUCUACGGAUGAAAGCGGGGGAUCGCAAGACCUCGCGCGAAUGGAGCGGCCGAUGUCAGAUUAGGUAGUUGGUGGGGGAAAGGCUCACCAAGCCAACGAUCUGUAGCUGGUCUGAGAGGACGACCAGCCAAACUGGGAGUGAGACACGGCCCAGACUCCUACGGGAGUGAGCAGUGGGGAAUUUUGGACAAUGGGCGCAAGCCUGAUCCAGCCAUUCCGCGUGCAGGAUGAAGGCCUUCGGGUUGUAAACUGCUUUUGUACGGAACGAAACGGCUCGCUCUAAUACAGGGGGCUAAUGACGGUACCGUAAGAAUAAGCACCGGCUAACUACGUGCCAGCCGCCGCGGUAAUAC
rnacentral:rRNA from 1 species